rnacentral:rRNA from 1 species
AUUGAACGCUGGCGGCAGGCCUAACACAUGCAAGUCGAGCGGAUGAAGGGAGCUUGCUCCUGGAUUCAGCGGCGGACGGGUGAGUAAUGCCUAGGAAUCUGCCUGGUAGUGGGGGAUAACGUCCGGAAACGGGCGCUAAUACCGCAUACGUCCUGAGGGAGAAAGUGGGGGAUCUUCGGACCUCACGCUAUCAGAUGAGCCUAGGUCGGAUUAGCUAGUUGGUGGGGUAAAGGCCUACCAAGGCGACGAUCCGUAACUGGUCUGAGAGGAUGAUCAGUCACACUGGAACUGAGACACGGUACAGACUCCUACGGGAGGCAGCAGUGGGGAAUAUUGGACAAUGGGCGAAAGCCUGAUCCAGCCAUGCCGCGUGUGUGAAGAAGGUCCUCGGAUUGUAAAGCACUUUAAGUUGGGAGGAAGGGCAGUAAGUUAAUACCUUGCUGUUUUGACGUUACCAACAGAAUAAGCACCGGCUAACUUCGUG